rnacentral:misc_RNA from 1 species
UUUCCGUAGGUGAACCUGCGGAAGGAUCAUUACCGAGUGAGGGCCCUCUGGGUCCAUCCUCCCACCCGUGUUUAUCGUACCUUGUUGCUUCGGCGGGCCCGCCUCACGGCCGCCGGGGGGCACCCGCCCCCGGGCCCGCGCCCGCCGAAGACACCAUUGAACGUUGUCUGAAGAUUGCAGUCUGAGCAUCUUAGCUAAAUCAGUUAAAACUUUCAACAACGGAUCUCUUGGUUCCG